rnacentral:rRNA from 1 species
CCCUUAGAUGUUCUGGGCCGCACGCGCGCUACACUGUUCGACGCAGCGAGUCUUAACCUUGACCGAAAGGUUUGGGUAAUCUUCAGCAAAGUCGAACGUGAUGGGGAUCGAUCAUUGCAAUUAUUGAUCGUGAACGAGGAAUUCCUAGUAAGUGCAAGUCAUCAGCUUGCGCUGAUUACGUCCCUGCCCUUUGUACACACCGCCCGUCGCUACUACCGAUUGGAUGGUUUAGUGAGAUCUCUGGAUUGACGCUGGCUAGGGGGCGACCCUUGGCCAGGCUGUCGAGAAACUGCUCAAACUUGAUCAUUUAGAGGAAGUAAAAGUCGUAACA